GCGAAAAUAUUUGAGCGAAAAUACAGAGGAAAAUUGAGGAAGAAGAUGAAUAGUGAUGUUCAUGAUUUCUCUGGGAAGUUUGAAGUUUUUUCUGGAGAGGAGGAGAGAUAAAAGAGAGGUGAGAAUGGUUGAAAUAACCGGCUCAAUAAAAGGGGGAUGGGUUAAGAGGUGGGAUUGGGAGAGUAUGGGUUGAUUUUUUAAUUAUUUUUUGUAUGUAGUAGGGUGUAGGUGGGUUAGUAGGGGUGGAGUGAGAAAUAAUAUAAUAUUGUUAGUAUAUUUUCAUUUUUAGAAACAGGUCAAGUAUUAAGAGACGGCCCGAUAAGGAAAACAUGUCAAGUAUUCCGGGACGGAGGGAGUAUACGAUAAGUUCAGAGCCGAUAAGGUAAUCCGUAAAUUACAUAAAUCUCUCCUUUUCAAAGACGAGACCGCAAUCUUGAAACUUGAAACCAACGCAAGUACGCAACCCUUGUUGUUGCUCCAUCCUCAAGAGAGAUGACAAGAGGAAAGCAAAAGCUCGAAGCUCAGAAAAAAAAUGCAGAGAAAAAUCAAAAGAAUAAGGGUUCCCAGAUCGAGGCUCGUGCUGUUGGACUCAAAGUCAUCUGCCCCAUCUGCAAGUCACAGCUAGCAAAUGAGAAACAGCUUAUUGAUCACUACGGCUCGAAACAUCCCAAGGAAAAGCCACCAAGCAACUCAAGUUGACACUAUGGUCAAACCCGGUUUUUACGGUGUAGUAAACCCUCCAUGAUGCCGGUGCAAUGUCUAAAUUGUAUCCGACUAUAUUUUCUUCGAUCUAUAUACAAUUACAUUAGGACUUUUGUUGCUUGUUUGAAAUAAUAAUGGGAGACCUGGACUCCA